AUGCUGUAUGGCCCGUAACAGUACCAUGGUGGGACUAACUUUGGCCAUACUAUUGGAGGUCCGUUUAUUGCGACAAGUUAUGAUUACGGUGCUCCACUUGAUGAGUAUGGUAUUUUUCUUCUUAACCUUGUUUCGCGGGUCAUUUUGUAUAUGUUAAUCUGUAUGUGUCGUUUUUUUUCUCACAAAGAUUAUAUGUCUGAUGAUUACUUGCAGGAGUGCCUCGACAACCGAAGUGGGGCCACUUAAAAGAUUUACAUAAGGCCAUCAAGCUUUGUGAAGACACGUUGGUAGCAACCGACCCAACAACUACUUCUCUUGGUCAAAAUUUAGAGUGUAGGAUUGUUAAGGGGGCCGUGUCCGCGAGGUCGAACCCGGCUUAAACCUGAAUAUGGCACAGACCUGAAAAAACAAUCAAAUUCUGGAAGCCUGGUGCAUCUGGCUGCACCGAAACAAUAAGGUUUUCAAUCGGAAAAACAGUUCGGUCAACAUGGUGGCGGAAGAAAUUAAAGUUAGCACUUUUUGGUGGAUGACAAGAAGGGCCAAAAGAGCUGGCCUCACUUUGGAUAGCUAUUUACAUGAUUGAGCAGGAUGCUUUACCAACAAUUCCAAAAUGUAGAAGCAUUUGCACGUAUCGAAAAAGAGCCAGGGCUUUCAUUUGAUGUGUUCUUUUUGUUAUGAAGAUGCCACUCAUAGUAAAAAAGAUUACUUAUACAGGUUGAUUAUUGCUAGACUGAUUGAACUUCCAGUAGAUCAUGUGGAAAAGAAACUGUCAUAGAUGAUAUUGGACAACAACAUAGAACACUAGAUCAUGAUAUUGACUUAUAUAUGUUUUUUAUAUCGUUUUAAGGUUUGAAUUAUGCUACUGUCCCUUAUUAUCGACUCCGCAGCAACGCGCGGGUUACCCACUAGUUUAGAAUAAUGAUUAACUUCAAAAUUUAAAAUUUAAAAUCUAAAAAUCAAAUCACUAAUAUCUAAUCCCGUAAAUCAAGCAAACUUAUUA